rnacentral:rRNA from 1 species
CUGGAACGGUGGCUAAUACCGGAUGAGCCGGAAGGUAAAAGAUUAAUUGCCUAGAGAUGAGCUCGCGUCUGAUUAGCUAGUUGGUGUGGUAAGAGCGCACCAAGGCGACGAUCAGUAGCUGGUCUGAGAGGAUGAUCAGCCACACUGGGACUGAGACACGGCCCAGACUCCUACGGGAGGCAGCAGUGGGGAAUUUUCCGCAAUGGGCGAAAGCCUGACGGAGCAAUACCGCGUGAGGGAGGAAGGCUCUUGGGUUGUAAACCUCUUUUCUCAAGGAAUAAGAACUGAAGGUACUUGAGGAAUAAGCAUCGGCUAACUCCGUGCCAGCAGCCGCGGUAAUACGGAGGAUGCAAGCGUUAUCCGGAAUGAUUGGGCGUAAAGGGUCCGCAGGUGGCCCUGUAAGUCUGCUGUUAAAGAGUGAGGCUUAACCUCAUAAAAGCAGUGGAAACUACAGAGCUAGAGUGCGUUCGGGGUAGCAGGAAUUCCUGGUGUAGCGGUGAAAUGCGUAGAGAUCAGGAAGAACACCGGUGGCGAAAGCGUGCUACUAGGCCGUAACUGACACUGAGGGACGAAAGCUAGGGGAGCGAAUGGGAUUAGA